CGACCGGCCACACUGGGACUGAGACACGGCCCAGACUCCUACGGGAGGCAGCAGUGGGGAAUAUUGCACAAUGGGCGAAAGCCUGAUGCAGCGACGCCGCGUGAGGGAUGACGGCCUUCGGGUUGUAAACCUCUUUCAGCAGGGAAGAAGCGAAAGUGACGGUACCUGCAGAAGAAGCGCCGGCUAACUACGUGCCAGCAGCCGCGGUAAUACGUAGGGCGCGAGCGUUGUCCGGAAUUAUUGGGCGUAAAGAGCUCGUAGGCGGCUUGUCACGUCGGUUGUGAAAGCCCGGGGCUUAACCCCGGGUCUGCAGUCGAUACGGGCAGGCUAGAGUUCGGUAGGGGAGAUCGGAAUUCCUGGUGUAGCGGUGAAAUGCGCAGAUAUCAGGAGGAACACCGGUGGCGAAGGCGGAUCUCUGGGCCGAUACUGACGCUGAGGAGCGAAAGCGUGGGGAGCGAACAGGAUUAGAUACCCUGGUAGUCCACGCCGUAAACGGUGGGCACUAGGUGUGGGCAACAUUCCACGUUGUCCGUGCCGCAGCUAACGCAUUAAGUGCCCCGCCU
rnacentral:rRNA from 1 species